CUCUUUUAUUCAUUUUUUUACCUUUUAAAACUCCUGUUUUUCGUCAUUAAUCAUUUAAAAAAACUUUCAUCUUGCAUUUAAGUCCUCGCUUGCAUUUUUACAACAUUUAAAAUCACUUCAUUUGAAUUCUUAUAACGCAUUUUAUAAUCUUUUUAAUCAUAACAGACAAGUCAUUUUAAAAUGUCUAAUUGUAUUUUAAAAGACGUGUCUUUUUAAUCAUUUCAACCGAAAUUUCGGCAGGGAGGAUACUUUGAAGUACUUCAUGUCAAAUUUCGAAGGGACUUUUUUUUAUUUAUUUAAUUAAUAUUUUAUUUUUAUUUUAUUUGUUUUUUAUUAUUUUUUCUUUUUGUUUAUUAUUAUUUUUUUUUUAUUAUUUUUUUUUUUAAAAGAAAAAAACAAAGAAAGGAAAGUCACGUGACUUUCUUUCCUUCCUCCCUCUUUCCUUUUCCUUUUUUUUUUUUUUUUUUUAUUAAGUCUUUGUCCCCAAGUCACCAACAGGGGUAUUUUGGUCUUUGAUCUGUACCAGAGCCAACCCUAUUUUGUCACUAUAAAUACACUGUCCAAUCAUUGGGAAAAGGGUCCGAAAAUUCACUGUAGUAGCUGCAGCAAUCACCAUCAGAAACCCUAAUCUUUCAUCUCUCUCAACUUUUUCAGAUCAAAAAAAAAAUAAUAAAAAAAAUACACAAUAAUCAUCAUGAAUGUUCAUAGCCACUCAUCAUGAACAUCAACCUCUUCCAUUCCAAGAACCAAAACUCUUCAUAACACUAAACCAACAAAAACACUUUCUCACAAAAAAUCAUCAUAAAACAAGUCACAUAACAUCACAAAUUCGGCCAUAAAAUCUCAACACCACACAAUUCGGAAUCGAAAUUCAUCACCAUACAUUAAAAGAGAAGAACCAACUCGAAUCAACACAUAAUACACAUAAAACGAACCGGACCGGAGAUAAGCAAGCAACACGUUUUUUGAAUCAAAGAACAAGAGGGAGAACAGAUCCAAGCUUGGAAUCCGCGUGAGGUUGUGAAGAAGAGAGGAGCAAACAAACCGGACCGGAAUAGUGAGGUAAACAAAGUGUUUUUGCUCACUUUUCUUUGAAUCUUUGUUCCUAGAUCUAGACUUGUAGGAGUUUGUUUUGAAAAUUCUGAGGCCGGAUUUGAACUCUAGGCGAAAAAGGAUCCUUAAAAAUGUAGAAAUUUUUUCGAACGGAGGUGUUUUGUUUCUCCGGCGCGGCGGCGCCCACCACGCCGGAAACGGACCAGCUCGCCGGAGAAGAAGGCUGCACUUGCAGACCUUCUCUCACUAAAAAUGUUUUAGAGAGAGGGAGGAAGGAGGAAAUGAGAAAAAACCGGUCCAAAACUCCUUUUAUAAGCAUGUGUGAACCGGUCUGGUUCAUCUGAACCGGACCGGUCCAUCUGAUUCCUCUUUCCCUUCUUUCUGAAACAUUAGAUCUUUCCUCCUCUUUUAAUCUAAC
rnacentral:lncRNA from 1 species